GUUUGCCUGUGAGUGGAUGGUGUUCAGUACCAGGGACAGGUGUGUUUGCCUGUGUAUGGAUGAUGUUCAGCACCAGGGACAGGUGUGUUUGCCU
rfam:Branchiostoma floridae genomic scaffold BRAFLscaffold_98, whole genome shotgun sequence.